rnacentral:lncRNA from 1 species
CGUAGGUCUCACGUGACCAGGAGUCGACGUGUGCAGAAGUCCUGCUAGUUUGGUCCUUGUUCUCGCCUGGGUACCAGCUUCAUUCUGUAGCGCGACUGCGGGGCCUGAGGCCAGGGAAAGGAGAAAGCCAAUCUGCCGGAAUUUUGCAGAUCUGCAGGUCUGUUGUUCAUAGCACUGAGCAAAGCUAGAAAAGACGAGAAAGAAACUGACCGGAUCAAUACUGAAGUAAUUGUAUUCAAAGAGGAAUAAGCAGAGAAAAAGGAGGAAA